GCUGGAUUUAUGUUAGAAGGUGCAUGAGAGAAAUUCCAUCUGAGUUGCAAUUUUGUAUUAGCCUUAGGUAUAGGAAACUUUAUUCCCUUUUGCUAUUACUUUUAAAGAAGGGAUAAAUUUUACUCCCAAACCUGCACAAACUUAAUUGUGAGAAGAAAAGGAGUUGGUUUAUUUUCUAACCUAGCCUUAAAGUCAAAGUGACACAAUGACCUGGUUCUGCUUUUUAAAAAGUUGCAUGUAAAACCACCACUUUUCAUUUUGUGAAUCCACUUUGUAAAUGGGCUUUGCAUUUUACCCUUUCACAUUUUAGAGUUCUUCUCCAAAUUCCAGAAGCACAAUUAUGAGCAGAUUGAACAUGAAAAGGGUCACAUUUUCCUUCUGUAGAGUAUGCAAGCACCCUGCCGGUGAUGACAGUAUGCUGUCUGGAGAUGCAAGUACGGACAAUUUUUGAAGAUCUAUGUUAUGAAUGUAUGGUGAUAUUACCACCUACUUUAAACAGUUCUAUGAGAAAACCAUGGGAGAAUGCUGUAAGUACUUUAGAAGAAAUACGAAAUGACAAUAACAGCCCAAACCAGACAGCUCCUCUUUUACAGCCUACCAAUUCUCAGGUCCUAGUGCUGAAAUAAUAGUUUUACAUCCUGGGAGCAUAUUGGAAUCACCUGAGGAGCAUUUGCAAGCCUUGUAUAUCCUCAAACAGAGAAGUGAGAAUCGCUGACACUGAAACACAGGUAACCCUAUUUUUAUAUCUUUGCAGGUGGAUUCUACGUUCACCUAGGUUUGAUGUUCACCUAAUUAAAACGUACUUCAGUGUGAGGCAGGAUGCUGUAAAUAUUGAGCUUACAGGAGAUAUCACCUUCUGCUGCCCUGAAGAUGUGUCACUGAUUAUGAAAUACACCUGCACACAGAACACACACAAAGACUCCUUUAUAAGGUGGAAUUUCACUUUCCAGCCAUCUUCACCUCAGAUGUUGAAGCUUUGUAUUGCCUUAGUUUCUAGGCGCUGUCUCCUUUUAUCUGUCCCAG
rnacentral:lncRNA from 1 species